CAACUUUGGAAAGCCACCCUCUAUGAUGACAAUCCACAGACCAGGCUAAGCUUCACGGAGAUACUGUCUGAGACCAAAAGAGACAUGAAAAGCCAGCUGGAAGCAGUUUGGUUACAGGAGUACUGUUUGAUUGGCAACUGCAAUGGGCCCUUACAGUCCCCUCAGCUCCACACAGCUCAGAAGAACUGCACUCUGAUGGUUGAUUGUAACACUGAAGCAGCUUUGAGUUCUUGAGGAAGGCUUGAGCACUUGCUGGCAUUGAAGUAGCCACCCCAAUCUGGCUAUGACAUUU
rnacentral:lncRNA from 1 species